rnacentral:ribozyme from 1 species
AGAAAAGAGAAUAUGGAACUGAAGAGGGAAAAAGCAAUUGCCUGUUUUCAUCCCGUUUUUCUUUAAUCGCAUUUUCUUUCUCAUUCAUUC